rnacentral:misc_RNA from 1 species
CUACAUUUGGGGAACNAGANAAAGNGGUCAAACGGGUCANAGAGGAAAGUAAAAGUCGAAAACAAGGUUUCCGUAGGGAACNGGGGGAAAGGAAUUCAUAANGAAUUGGCUAAAUUGCACAACAUGNGUUUUUUCUUUGGAAACAAACUGGCUUUUGGCGGUGGGCCCUAGCGGGGCCGCCAGAGGUUCUAAACUUACAACCAAUUUUUAAUCAACUUGUCACACCAGAUUAUUAUUAAUAGUCAAAACUUUCAACAACGGAUCUCUUGGUUCUCGCAUCGAUGAAGAACGCAGCGAAAUGCGAUACGUAAUAUGAAUUGCAGAUAUUCGUGAAUCAUCGAAUCUUUGAACGCACAUUGCGCCCUCUGGUAUUCCGGAGGGCAUGCCUGUUUGAGCGUCGUUUCUCCCUCAAACCGCUGGGUUUGGUGUUGAGCAAUACGACUUGGGUUUGCUUGAAAGACGGUAGUGGUAAGGCGGGAUCGCUUUGACAAUGGCUUAGGUCUAACCAAAAACAUUGCUUGCGGCGGUAACGUCUACCACGUAUAUCUUCAAACUUGACCUCAAAUCAGGUCUCUC